AGCGAACGCUGGCGGCAGGCCUAACACAUGCAAGUCGAACGAACCUUUCGGGGUUAGUGGCGGACGGGUGAGUAACACGUGGGAACGUGCCUUUAGGUUCGGAAUAACUCAGGGAAACUUGUGCUAAUACCGAAUGUGCCCUUCGGGGGAAAGAUUUAUCGCCUUUAGAGCGGCCCGCGUCUGAUUAGCUAGUUGGUUGAGGUAAUGGCUCACCAAGGCGACGAUCAGUAGCUGGUCUGAGAGGAUGAUCAGCCACAUUGGGACUGAGACACGGCCCAAACUCCUACGGGAGGCAGCAGUGGGGAAUCUUGCGCAAUGGGCGAAAGCCUGACGCAGCCAUGCCGCGCGAAUGAUGAAGGUCUUAGGAUUGUAAAAUUCUUUCACCGGGGACGAUAAUGACGGUACCCGGAGAAGAAGCCCCGGCUAACUUCGUG
rnacentral:rRNA from 1 species